GUGGUGGGAGUGUCCCAUGCCUCACAAGGCUGUUAAAGGGUUAAGUGAGUGUCGAACACCAGCUUUUUCCCAACUGCAUUUUUAACCCUUAUGGUAUCACACAUAAUCCCUCAAGCAAGAAGACCACAGUUUGAAACAAGCCUGGGCUAUACAGUAAAACUAUGUCUCAAAAAAGAAAAAAAAAAUUGCAUUGUUCCUUAAUAUACCAACGAAGCUGGGGCUGGAGAGAUGGCUUAGUGGUUAAGAUUGCUGGCUACUUUUUUCAGAGGGCCUGGCUUCAAUUCCCAGCACCCACAUAGUGGCUCACAACUGUCUAAAAUUUCAUCCCUAGGCUAUUUGAUGCCAUAUUCGGACCUCUGAGGGUACUGUAAAUACAUGCUGCACAGAUACAGGUAGAUAAAACACACACACACACACACACACACACACACACACACACACAACAUAUGAUCUUUUUUAAAUUAAAAAACCUUGCAUGUUGGCACACACCUUUAAUCUCAGCAUCAGGAAGGCAGAGGCAGGUGGAUCUCUAUCAGUUUGAAGCUAAGCCUGGUCUACAUAGUACAUUGAUGCCAGCCAAGGCUACCUAGAGACCCUAUUUCAAAAAACC
rnacentral:lncRNA from 1 species